rnacentral:ncRNA from 1 species
UACCUGAUUGAUUCUGUCAGCGCGAUAUGCUCAAGUAAAAGAUUAAGCCAUGCAUGCUUUGAUUCAUAAAUGAAAUUGCGUACGGCUCAUUAGAGCAGAUAUCACCUUUCUCGGAAUCCUGAAAAGGAUAACUGCGGAAAUUCUGGAGCUAAUACAUGCGACUAUACUCCAACGCAAGGCGGGGUGCAAUUAUUAGAACAGACCAAACGUUUUCGGACGUUGUUUGUUGACUCUGAAUACCGUCGUUUACUGUCAGUUUCGACUGACUCUAUCCGAGAAGGGUGUCUGCCCUUUCAACUAGAUGGUAAUCUAUUGGACUACCAUGGUUGUUACGGGUAACGGAGAAUUAGGGUUCGACUCCGGAGAGGGAGCCUUAGAAACGGCUACCACGUCCAAGGAAGGCAGCAGGCGCGAAACUUAUCCACUGUUGAGUAUGAGAUAGUGACUAAAAAUAUAAAGACUCAUCCUUUUGGAUGAGUUAUUUCAAUGAGUUGAAUAUAAAUUAUUCUUCGAGUACAAGGAGAGGGCAAGUCUGGUGCCAGCAGCCGCGGUAAUUCCAGCUCUCCUAGUGUAUCUCGUUAUUGCUGCGGUUAAAAAGCUCGUAGUUUGGAUCUAGGUUA